AGAGCGCAGGGAGGAUGCCUUGGCAUCAGGAGCCGAAGAAGGACGCGGUAAGCUGCGAUAAGCUCCGGGGAGUGGCAAGCACACUUUGAUCCGGGGAUUUCCGAAUGGAGCAAUCCACAUGGGUGUCGCCCAUGUAUCAUACACUGAAUAAAUAGGUGUAUGAGGGGAACCGUCUGAACUGAAACAUCUAAGUAGGACGAGGAAAAGAAAUCAACCGAGAUUCCGCUAGUAGUGGCGAGCGAACGCGGAGGAGGCUAAACCAUAGUCAGCAAUGAUUGUGGGGUUUGGACUGCAUUUAGUAUCAAUAAGAUCUAGUCGAAGUACAUGGGAAGGUACAUCGAAGAGGGUGAGAAUCCCGUAGACGAAAGGUCGAGUUGGCGAGCAGUAUCCAGAGUACCGCCGGACACGUGAAACCCGGUGGGAACAUGGGGGGACCAUCCUCCAAGCCUAAAUACUACCUGAUGACCGAUAGCGCAUAGUACUGUGAAGGAAAGGUGAAAAGAACCCCGGGAGGGGAGUGAAAGAGAACCUGAAACCCUGUGUCUACAAGCUGUGGAAGCACUUUAUAUGUGCGACCGCGUACUUUUUGUAGAACGGUCCGGCGAGUUACGCUUACUGGCAAGGUUAAGCACUUCAGGUGCGGAGCCGUAGGGAAACCAAGUCUUAAGAGGGCCUUAAGUCAGUAGGAGUAGACCCGAAACCGGGUGAUCUAUCCAUGUCCAGGUUGAAGCUGCCGUAAGAGGUAGUGGAGGACCGAACCCACAUCCGUUGAAAAGGGUGGGGAUGAGGUGUGGAUAGGGGAGAAAUUCCAAUCGAACCCGGAGAUAGCUGGUUCUCCUCGAAAUAGCUUUAGGGCUAGCCUCAUGGAUCAUUGGUGGGGGUAGAGCACUGAAUGUGCGCGGGGGCCACAAAGCCUACCAAACGCUAUCAAACUUCGAAUACCAUACAAUGCAGACCAUGGGAGUCAGUCCGCGAGAGAUAAGUUCCGCGGGCAAAAGGGGAACACCCCAGAUCAACCGCUAAGGUCCCCAAGUUCACGUUAAGUGGAGAAGGAUGUGGAAUUGCACAGACAACCAGGAUGUUGGCUCAGAAGCAGCCACACAUUUAAAGAGUGCGUAAUAGCUCACUGGUCGAGUGAUUGUGCGCCGAAGAUGUCCGGGGCUAAACGUGACACCGAAGCGAUGGGUGCAUCUGAAGAAGAUGCGCGGUAGAGGAGCAAUGUGCAGAGGCAGAAGCCGUAUCGAGAGGCACGGUGGACACUGCACAAGAGAGAAUGCCGGUAUGAGUAGCGAGAGGCAUGCGAGAAACAUGCCCGUCGAAAGCCCAAGGUUUCCUGGGGAAGGUUCAUCCGCCCAGGGUAAGUCGGGGCCUAAGCCGAGGACGGAAGUCGUAGGCGAUGGACAGCAGGUGUAGAUUCCUGCACUACCGAUGGAAUGAAGCAGUGACACAGAAGGAUAACUCGAGCAGGGUGAUGGUCAACCCUGUGCAAGCAUCAAGGUUGGGUUGUAGUGAAGUACGCAACCCUAUAAGCUGAGGUGUGAUGCGGACCGAAAUUUCAGUAGGGAAGCGAGUGAGUUCACGCUGGCGAGAAAAGCUGCUAGUACAUCCAAAGGUACCCGUACCGGAAACCGACGCAGGUGGGCGAGGAGAGAAUCCUGAGACGAACGGGAGAACCCUUGUUAAGGAACUCGGCAAAAUGACCCCGUAACUUCGGGAUAAGGGGAGCCUCGGAAGAGGCCGCAGAGAAUAGGCCCAAGCGACUGUUUAGCAAAAACACAGGUCUGUGCGAAGUAGAGAUACGACGUAUACGGGCUGACGCCUGCCCAGUGCCGGAAGGUUAAGGGGAAGUGUUAGGGCAACCGAAGCACGGAACUUAAGCCCCGGUGAACGGCGGCCGUAACUAUAACGGUCCUAAGGUAGCGAAAUUCCUUGUCGGGUAAGUUCCGACCCGCACGAAUGGUGUAACGACUUGUGAGCUGUCUCAACAGGGGGCCCGGUGAAAUUGAAGUAUGGGUGAAGAUGCCCAUUACCCGCGACUGGACGGAAAGACCCCGUAGAGCUUUACUGCAGCCUGAUAUUGAGUUUCGGUAACUGAUGCACAGGAUAGGUGGGAGUCUGAGAGACAUGGGUUUCGGCUCGUGUGGAGACGAUGUUGGGAUACCACUCUUCGGUUACUGAAAUUCUAACAUAGCUCUGUGAAACCAGAGGAUGGACAGUGUCAGGUGGACAGUUUGACUGGGGCGGUCGCCUCCGAAAGAGUAACGGAGGCGCCCAAAGGUACCCUCAGAAUGGAUGGAAACCAUUCGAAGAGAGCAAAGUCAGAAGGGUGCUUGACUGCGAGACCAACAAGUCGAGCAGGUACGAAAGUAGGGCUUAGUGAUCCGGCGGUAAGAGAGUGGAAUUGCCGUCGCUCAACGGAUAAAAGCUACCUCGGGGAUAACAGGCUGAUCUCCCCCAAGAGUCCACAUCGACGGGGAGGUUUGGCACCUCGAUGUCGGCUCGUCGCAUCCUGGGGCUG
rnacentral:rRNA from 1 species